CUAAACAAGAAAUUGGUGCUGAUAUUAAGAAUAACAAUAAUGAUCCUGUGAAGCUGGUUGGAUUCAGGCAAAUUGGGAGCAGAAGAAAAAACAAGCCACGUAGGGCUGCUGAAGUUGGCCUCGAGUGCAGAUGAAGUCUGGUGCACAACUAUUAUCAAUUUUGUUUAAAGAGAUGAUCCGCUUUUGUGGAGUUUUCCUGCA